rnacentral:rRNA from 1 species
UACGGAAUGUGCAACCGUUAUUCGGAAUCACUGGGCUUAAAGAGUCCGUAGGCGGCAUGUUAGGUGAGGUGUGAAAUCCCCCGGCCCAACCGAGGAAUUGCGCUUCAAACCGGCGUGCUAGAGGAAGAUAGAGGUGGGCGGAACUGAUGGUGGAGCGGUGAAAUGCGUUGAUAUCAUCAGGAACACCGGAGGCGAAAGCGGCCCACUGGGUCUUAUCUGACGCUGAGGGACGAAAGCUAGGGGAGCGAACGGG